UUAAUUUGCUUAUUGGUAAACAUUUUCAACUGUCAACUUGUCUUGCUUUCUUCAAGGAGCAGGCUUACAUGUUCAUUCAGCACCAGGUACCUUGCCCAUUCUGAUGAAACUCAAGAGCGCUACAUGUUAAAAGGCAAAGAUUCAAGACCUUGACCAGCAAGAAAGAGAUAGAGGGCUCAUAAUGCAUGAGACAUUGGCAACCCAACACCAGUGCCAGGCCAAGGAGUUGCUUCAUUAGGGGCAGUCAGACAAUCUCCUUGAGUGACCAGUCCUGGAUUUCCCCUAAGUUAAGUGAUCCUUCUGCUGUAUGGUUAAGAAAGGGAAAACCCUUAGCACCACCCAAACCACUUCCUCCACCGUCUCUGAUAUGGCACACCACUGAACCCACCAUGAGGUACACAUCUUCACCCCGUGAAGCUAAAGAAAUGGUUUUACCUCGCAAGCAAUUGGUGAUGUGGUAAUAGUUGCUGAAGGAUAACAUUAACUAUGAAUAAAAGAAUUGCAGAUAGUUCUUCCUUCCUUGGCUGCAAAACUCGAUGUGGACAAGAUGCAAGUUGGGGCUCUCAUGGAAAAUAAACUCGGAGUCUACAUAAUGCAUAGGAGUCAGAACGCACAGUCAGAGCGGUAUAUUGCUUUUCACACUUCAUGGAGCAGUAUACAUGGUAUUUCAGGAUGAAGUAUGUGGUUCAUUCUUUGUCUAAUGAUUUUUUUUUUAGUUUGUUUCUUUGUAAAUUCUUAAUCGUAUGGCGGUCUGGA